AGAUUGAACGCUGGCGGCAGGCCUAACACAUGCGAGUCGAGCGGUAGAGAGGUGCUUGCAUCUCUUGAGAGCGGCGGACGGGUGAGUAAUGCCUAGGAAUCUGCCUAGUGGUGGGGGAUAACGUUCGGAAACGGACGCUAAUACCGCAUACGUCCUACGGGAGAAAGCGGGGGACCUUCGGGCCUCGCGCCAUUAGAUGAGCCUAGGUCGGAUUAGCUAGUUGGUGAGGUAAUGGCUCACCAAGGCGACGAUCCGUAACUGGUCUGAGAGGAUGAUCAGUCACACUGGAACUGAGACACGGUCCAGACUCCCUACGGGAGGCAGCAGUGGGGGAAUAGUUAGGACAAGUGGGACGAAAG
rnacentral:rRNA from 1 species